GAUGAAGAACGUAGCGAAAUGCGAUAAGUAGUGUGAAUUGCAGAAUUCAGUGAAUCAUCGAAUCUUUGAACGCACAUUGCGCCCCUUGGUAUUCCAUGGGGCAUGCCUGUUCGAGCGUCUUUUGUACCUUCAAGCUUUGCUUGGUGUUGGGUGUUUGUCUCGCCUUUGCGUGUAGACUCGCCUUAAAAUAAUUGGCAGCCGGCGUAUUGAUUUCGGAGCGCAGUACAUCUCGCGCUUUGCACUCAUAACGACAGCGUCCAAAAGUACAUUUUACACUCUUGACCUCGGAUCAGGUAGGGAUACCCGCUGAACUUAAGCAUAUCAAUAAGCGGAGGA
rnacentral:misc_RNA from 1 species